rnacentral:snRNA from 1 species
GUGCUUGCUUCGGCAGCACAUAUACUAAAAUUGGAACGACACAGAGAAGAUUAGCAUGGUCCCUGUGCAAGAAUGACAUGUAAAUGCGUGAAGUGGUCCGUAUUUUU